rnacentral:rRNA from 1 species
UACGAAGGGGGCUAGCGUUGCUCGGAAUCACUGGGCGUAAAGGGUGCGUAGGCGGGUCUUUAAGUCAGGGGUGAAAUCCUGGAGCUCAACUCCAGAACUGCCUUUGAUACUGAGGAUCUUGAGUUCGGGAGAGGUGAGUGGAACUGCGAGUGUAGAGGUGAAAUUCGUAGAUAUUCGCAAGAACACCAGUGGCGAAGGCGACACACUGGCUCACUACUGACGCUGAGGCGCGAAAGCGUGGGGAGCAAACAGG